rnacentral:rRNA from 1 species
GCAUAUCAAUAAGCGGAGGAAAAGAAACCAACAGGGAUUGCCUCAGUAACGGCGAGUGAAGCGGCAACAGCUCAAAUUUGAAAUCUGGCCCUAGGCCCGAGUUGUAAUUUGCAGAGGAUGCUUUUGGCAAGGUGCCUUCCGAGUUCCCUGGAACGGGACGCCAUAGAGGGUGAGAGCCCCGUCUGGUCGGACACCGAGCCUCUGUAAAGCUCCUUCGACGAGUCGAGUAGUUUGGGAAUGCUGCUCAAAAUGGGAGGUAUAUGUCUUCUAAAGCUAAAUACCGGCCAGAGACCGAUAGCGCACAAGUAGAGUGAUCGAAAGAUGAAAAGCACUUUGAAAAGAGAGUUAAAUAGCACGUGAAAUUGUUGAAAGGGAAGCGUUUAUGACCAGACUUGGCCCGGUUGAUCAUCCAGCGUUCUCGCUGGUGCACUCUGCCGGUCCAGGCCAGCAUCAGUUCGUCGCGGGGGAUAAAGGUUUCGGGAAUGUGGCUCCUCCGGGAGUGUUAUAGCCCGUUGCGUAAUACCCUGCGGUGGACUGAGGUCCGCGCUUCUGCAAGGAUGCUGGCGUAAUGGUCAUCAACGACCCGUCUUGAAACACGGACCAAGGAGUCGUCUUCGUAUGCGAGUGUUCGGGUGUAAAACCCCUACGCGUAAUGAAAGUGAACGCAGGUGAGAGCUUCGGCGCAUCAUCGACCGAUCCUGAUGUUCUCGGAUGGAUUUGAGUAAGAGCAUACGGGGCCGGACCCGAAAGAAGGUGAACUAUGCCUGUAUAGGGUGAAGCCCGAGGAAACUCUGGUGGAGGCUCGCAGCGGUUCUGACGUGCAAAUCGAUCGUCAAAUAUGGGCAUGGGGGGCGAAAGACUAAUCGAACCUUCUAGUAGCUGGUUUCCGCCGA